AUAAACCUCAUAAUAGUUUGUUAUUUUAUUUUUCAUUUUUAUUUAGCAUUCGGUUGAAUUAGACAAAGAGGUAGAUUAUGAACCUGAACAUGCUAGCGAGAGAACAACAAAGAAGAGAAAAAAAAGAAUUCACCGUUACUGUAUUUUUUGUUUAAAAUUUAAGUCAUCUCUGUCAAAACAUAUAAUGACUGUGCAUAAAAACCAUCCAGAGGUUUUAAUUUUAAAUACAAAGAAGGCUAGGUUGAACGGUUUAAAAGAUUUUAAAAGGAGAGGAAUUUUUCAAUACAACAAAG